AUCCCUUCGAAGACAACUGAAAAAAUUAGAACCAUACAAGAAGAUUAGCAUGGUCCCUUUGCAAGAUGACACACAAAUGAAAGAAAUUCAUAACGCGAAA